GGAGUUGUAGCUCAGUGGUAGAGUGCUUGCCUAGCAUGUGUGAGGCACUGGGUUCAAUCCUCAGCACCA
rnacentral:tRNA from 1 species